GUUAAGUGACGAAGCGUAUACGGUGGAUGCCUUGGCAGUUAGAGGCGAUGAAGGACGUGUAAGUCUGCGAAAAGCUGUGGUGAGCCGACAAAAUGCAUUUGAGCCACAGAUGUCCGAAUGGGGAAACCCACCUAUUUAUAGGUAUCGUUAACUGAAUACAUAGGUUAACGAGGCAAACGAGGGGAACUGAAACAUCUAAGUACC
rnacentral:rRNA from 13 species